rnacentral:rRNA from 1 species
AGAGUUUGAUCCUGGCUCAGGAUGAACGCUAGCUACAGGCUUAACACAUGCAAGUCGAGGGGCAACAUUGGGGUAGCAAUACUUCAGAUGGCGACCGGCGCACGGGUGAGUAACACGUAUCCAACCUGCCGCUUACUCGGGGAUAGCCUUUCGAAAGAAAGAUUAAUACCCGAUGGUAUAAAGAGUUCGCAUGUUCUCUUUAUUAAAGAAUUUCGGUAAGCGAUGGGGAUGCGUUCCAUUAGAUAGUUGGCGGGGUAACGGCCCACCAAGUCUACGAUGGAUAGGGGUUCUGAGAGGAAGGUCCCCCACAUUGGAACUGAGACACGGUCCAAACUCCUACGGGAGGCAGCAGUGAGGAAUAUUGGUCAAUGGACGAGAGUCUGAACCAGCCAAGUAGCGUGAAGGAAGACGGCCCUACGGGUUGUAAACUUCUUUUGUAAGGGAAUAAAGUGCAGUACGCGUACUGUUUUGCAUGUACCUUACGAAUAAGGAUCGGCUAACUCCGUGCCAGCAGCCGCGGUAAUA